AUUUCGAAAUUCUGAGCAUGAAUUUGCUGAUUGAUGUCAAAAUGUUUAACCGUGGUUUAAAUUCCUUCGGAAUGAAACGAUUGUCAGAACUAAGAAGGAAACUAAUGGUAUCUACUAGUAGUGGACUUGUAGUGUAGGUUAUAGAAAUGUGGCUCUAUCACAUCUGUGUUUAUUUUGUAGGUUUUUGACUUUUUAAAGCCAGUGUAUAGUUGAUGUAAUUCAAAUAGCUUAAACUUCUAUAACCUACUGUCGUAACUAGUUUUCUACUUAGUUUACUGAUAUAUUUGUUAAAACUACUUAGUUACAAAUAACCAACUUGUAUUAAGUUUUCCUCAAUAAAUAAAAAUCUCUUCUCACAUCGAGAGAAGAUUUUUCAUUCAAUCAAAAAUAGACAUUGGUAUUACACCAAAUUGGUAUUACAGCACCAUAAGCUCUUGGGACCAUGGCUGUGUGACGAGUGAAUCAACCAGCAGCGGUGGACCUGCUCAAAAUCAAAGGUAGACGAAAACCCUGUCCUCUCUGCAAGAUCUACCAUGCGUCGCUUGCUGCCCAUGGACGCAUCUGUGGAGGAGAGAAUUGAAGCAACACUUCAAGAAGUCCUACAACGGCUAGAAACCUUAGCUCCUAAAACAUAGUACAUGAAGAACAUCAAGAAUUUGUUCAAAAGAAGAAGACCGAUUCAAGAUUAUCAAGAACUCCCUUCAAGAAUCAAAGAUUACUAUCAAGAUCCUCAAGAAUGAAGCUCUACUAAUGAUAAACCUCAAGAAAGGUUAGUAAGUGAUGAAGAUAGAAGGUUCUGACCAUGUUUUGAUGAAAGAAGAAGAGAUGUGGCCAAAUAUUGAUGAGAAUUGACUUGCCUAGCUACGAUGAAUCUGUUGAGGAGAUUAUUGAACCCAGUCAAGAAAUACUACCAGAAGAAGCCCGUGGAAUGUCACUAAUAGCAACAAGGCUAUAGCUGCAAACUCUUCUCUUACUUAGGCCACGAAAGAGCAAGACAAAGCAAGACAAUUGAUCCAAAUGGGAAGAAGACUGAAGCAAUUCCCAAGAAACAAAUAGAGAAUCUAAUCUGAGUAAAUGCUUCCAUUGUGGACAAACUAGCCACCUCUCCAAUGCUUGCCCUAAAAGGAGGGCUGUAGCUUUUCUAGAAGAAGAUGCAGACCUCAUUGAGGAGCAAGAAGGAGAUUUUGAUCAAAAUGAAGAGAUACUGAAGCCUGAUGAAGGGGAAAGACUCUCUUGUGUACUUCAAAGAGUGCUAAUUGCACCUAAAAAUUAUAACUCGCACCAGCAUAAGUCUUUUCAAGACCCGUUGCACUAUCCAAAAUAAGGUAGCAACAUGAUUAUGACAGUGGCAGCAGUGAGAAUUUUCUUUCUAAGAAGUUAGUUACUGCCCUUAAACUGAAGGCAGAAUCCAUUCCAAUCCUGACAAAAUAGGAUGGAUCAAGAAAGGUGGAGAUACACAGAUAAAUGGGAUUUGCUCGGUGCCUUUGUCAAUCGAAGGAAGCUAGAGAGACUAAAUCGUCUGUGAUUAUUAGAUAUGGAUGUUUGCCAUAUCUUGCUUGGGAGACUGCGGUAGUAUGAUACCAAGUUGUCCAUAGAGGAAGGGAGAAUACCUAUGAAUUUUAGUUGAUGAAUAAAAAGAUUGUCCUAACGCCUUUUAACCAGAAAAUGUAGAAUGGAUUAAUUCGAAGCAGUUCAACAACGAUCUCUUCAUCACUUAAGUGGUAAGAAGUUUAUUAAAGACAAAGAAUCUGAUAUCUUAGACCUUGUUGUUGCUGGCCAUUCUUCCCCAGAUUGCUCCAAACAUGUGCCACUGAAAGUUCAAGAAUUGUUGGAUCAGUUUCCAAGGAUCAAUGAAGAAUCCACUGAACCUCCUUCCCUUUGAGUCAUUCAACAUAACAUUGACUUGAUUCCAGGCUCUUCCCUUCCUCAUUGUAGGAUGAGUCCACAGGAGUACGAAAUCUUGCAUCAACGUAUGGAAAAGCUACUGAAAAAGGGUCAUAUCCAGCCGAGUAUCAACCCUUGUGUAGUUCCAGCCCUAUUGACUCCAAAGAAAGAUGACAGUUGGAGAAUGUGUGUUGAUAGCUGAGCCAUCAACAAGAUAACUAUCAAAUAUCAUUUCCUUAUCCUUCGAAUCAGUGAUCUACUUGAUCAACUUGGAGGAGCCUUCAUUUUUCAAAGGUAGACUUGAAGAGUGGCUACCAUCAAAUCCAAAUAAGGCUGGAAGAUGAAUGGAAAACGGUUUUCAAGACAAAUGAAGGGCCAUUUGAGUGGCUAGUGAUGCCUUUCGGCUUGUCCAAUGCACGAAGCACUUUCAUGCAUCUAAUGCAACAGGUGCUUCAUUCUUUCCUAAACAAGUUCGUGGUUGUCUACUUUGAUGACAUCAAUACAACAAAAAUGAGGAAGAUCAUUUACAGCACCUAAAAUUGGUUUUUGAAGCCCUAGAAAAGAAUGAGAUGUAUAUUAACUUGAAGAAGUGUACUUCCUGCACAGGGAAAGUUUCACUCCUAGGGUUUAUUAUUUGUGAACACCAAGUAAGGAUGGAUGAGAGCAACGUUGAAGCUGUGGUAAAUUGGCCAACUUCUAAUUCAGUGAAGGAAGUCCAAGCCUUCAUGGGGCUAGCUUCAUUUUACAGGAAAUUCAUUAGAAAUUUCAGCUCCAUAAGAGCCCCAAUAACUGAUUGUUUGGAGAAAGGAGCUUUUACUUGGGGGAAGAAUCAACAACAAAGCUUUGAUUUAAUAAAAAAGAAGCUCAACAGUUAGUUUUAUUUAAUAAAAAGAAGCUUAGCAGUCAACUAGUGCUUAAACUUCUAGAAUUUUGUAGUCCCUUUGAGGUGGCAGCAGUAGAUGCCAGUGGAGCUGGAAUUGGGGCAGUCCUAUCACAAGGGAGGCAUCCAAUGAAGUUUUUUUAGUGAAAAGUUGAGUUCUUCUAGACAAGCUUGGAGCACUUAUGAGCAGGAGCUAUAUGCUCUCAUAAGAGCCUUAAAAUAGUGCGAGCACUACCUUUUAUCUAUAAGGAGUUUAUACUCCUUAUUGAGCAUUUCUCUUUGAAGUAUCUACAAACUCAAAAAAGCAUCAACAUGAUGCAUGCUCGAUGGGUGUCUUAUAUCUAGCGUUUUGAUUUUACAAUUAAACAUCAGGAAAGAAAAUAGGGUUGUCGAUGCUCAAAGUAGAAAAAGAACCUUAUUGACUGUUCUUUCAGCCGAGAUUAGAGCCUUCAAUCAUGGCGUAAACCAAAGAAUACUCUUGAUUGAAUGUAUAAUCUGCCUCUCAAGGUGAGAGGAGAUGCUUUAUAUAGGGGAGAUUAGUACAAGUAGUUGGUUACAUUGUAACUAACUAAGUAAUUUUAGUUAACUAAUAGUGAGUUAAAACAGAAACUAAAAGACAGUUUACAUCAUUCCACCCCCCUAGUAUCAAACUCGUCUCGAGUUUGUCAUGAAAGCUGGAAUCCAUCCGGUGCAUUGUAGCUUUUAAGGUUCGCUACAAUGAAGAUUUGGGCUGAUGUUGAACCCUUCAGGCAGUUCAAUCUUGUAGGCAUUUGGCUCAUAUUUGGCAAUUAUUCUACAUGGGCCAAUCUGUUUAUCUUUCAUCUUUCCUUAAGUUUCAGUUGGGAACCUCUUAUUCUUCAAGUGGGCCAUUACAAGAUCUCGAAUUUGGAAAUGAACCUCCAAUUUGAUGUGGAACUACAAGAAGAAGUAGAAGCCAUGGCUGAAAGAAUCCAAAAACUUCACACAAAAGUCAUAGAACAUCUAACUAAGACUGCAGAAUCUUACAAAGAGGAGAAAGACAAAAGGAGAAGGGAAGUCCGUUUUCAAAUUGGUGACCUAGUAAUGGACCAUUUGAAGAAGAAGAGGUUCCUAGCUGGAACCUAUGAAAAGUUAAAAGACAGACAAAUUGGCCCGUGUAGAAUAAUAGCUAAAUAUAAGCCAAACGCCUACAAUCUUGAUCUGCCUGAAGGGAUCAACAUUAGCCUAGUUUUCAACAUUGCAGAUCUGAAAAGGUACGAUGCACUUGAUGGAUUCCAUCUUACAUGGCAGACCUAACUCGAGGACGAGUUUGAUGCUCAGGGGUGGAAUGAUGUAAUUCAAAUAGCUUAAACUUCUAUAACCUACUGUACUAACUAGUUUUCUAAUUAGUUCACUGUUAUAUUUGUUAAAACUACUUAGUUACAAAAUAACCCACUUGUAUUAAGUUUUCCUCAAUAAAUAAAGAUAUCCUCUCACAUUGAAAGAGAAGAUUUUUCA